rnacentral:lncRNA from 1 species
CUGUUUGCCCUUUCUGAGUCUCUAAAUCCUCACUUGCAUGAUGAGAAUAGUCACAUAUAUAGCAUGGUGAAUGGUCCAGAGUGCUGGUUCAAGAAAGAGGAGUUUCUAUUCCUUUUGACUAGACACUACCUUGAACUGUGCCCAGCUCUGACUUGUAAUCCAGUCAGAUCUCCUCCGGAAAGUGAAAACUGCCAAGAUCGGUAUAAGCAGCUGCUUUUCCACUGCAUCUGCGGGCUGACAUUCCUGAGAAGGUUCUCCACUGCAAAGACGAUGAGCAGGCCUGGGGUCACAUGCCCCCCAAACCGGGGUUCCACCUCUAUCACUACCUGAUCCUCUCUGGACCAGUUCAAGUGUUGCCUUCUCAGAAGGAUGUUCCUAGCCCUCAAGACAACGGAUGAUGCUCCUUCCUUGGUGUUCCCUUAUCUGUUGUACCACAACAGUGGUUAAACAAACAACAGCCAACAUUAAAUAAACACUAUUCUACUUUACAUGUACUAAUGUGUUUAGUUCUUACAAAAGAAAUUAUGAGCUAAUAUAUCUAUGAUGCAGAUAUCACUUAUCUUUUUUUUUUUUUUUGCUAUUUAGGGCUGCACCCGCGGCAUAUGGAAGUUCCCAAGCUAGGGGUUGAAUCACAGCCACAGCUGCCAGCCUACACCGUAGCCACAGCAACGCAGGAACUGAGCCACAUCUGUGACCUACACCAUAGCUCACGGCAACGCCAGGUCCUUAACCCACUGAGUGAAGUGGGGGAUUGAACCUGCAUCCUCAUGGGUUCUAGUUGGGUUCGAUAACCACUGAGCCAUGAAGGGAACUCGAUAUCAUUUAUCUUUUACAGACGAGGGCUCUGAAGCACAGAGAAAGUAAGUAACUUAGGCAAAUGGCAGAACUAAGAUGUGAGCCCAAGCCAAGGCCCCUCGGUAUUUGCCAUUACAUCUAGUGCUAACUUUUUCUUCUCUUUUUCCUUUUCUUUUUAGGGCUGCACCUGCCACAUAUGGAGGUUCCCAGGCUAGGGGUUGAAUUGGAGCUACAGCUGCCAGCCUAGGCCACAGCCAUAGCAAUGCUAGGUCCAAGCUGCAUCUGAGGCAACUUGAGGCAACGCUGGAUCCUUUACCCACUGAUCAGGCCUAGUGAUGGACGCCGCAUCCUCAUGGAUACUAGUUGGGUUCACUACCACUGAGCCACAAGGGAACUCCAAUACUGACUUUUUCAUAACUGUAUCUGUCUAUGUCCUCUUCCUCUCCACCUGGCUAGAACUCCAAAGGCUCCAAGAUGUCUUUAAUUCUCCUUUGCCCUGCUACCAUUUAGGGUGGUCCCUGUUACAGGGAAGCCACCUGGUGAUGAGCCUCGACUCGAAAAACAUUAAAUAGGGAGCCUCAUCGCCUAGAGGAAUCAAGGCCAGACACACGCCUUUUCCAGAUCUAGCCCACGGUCAUCUGUCAGGCCAGUUAACAUAGCCCACUCUACCUCCAGCAGCGGAGGAGAGGAGAAAAUGCAUCCUGACAUCACAGGAAGGACCCAAGUAAAAGGUGCACUAAUGGGGGUAAAAACACGUCAGCAGAGUGAUUCAUUUGGCCUCCCCUUCGAUAUUAUGUUUAUACAAGUUGAUUAUAUAGCACUUAAUUACUAAUUUGCUCUACUUAAACCAAGAGUGCUUUUAAUUUUUAAUGAGAUAAGGGAAGAAGAUGCCUUUACUUAGUCAGGAGCAGCUAUUUUAUUUCCUUCUCUUGUUUUGCACAGCCAAUUAAUAACAUUUCUAAGGAAAUGUAUCCCUCUCAUGAAUUCUUUCUUCCAUUUCCUUCUAGACCUCCCAGCUUUAGAAAGAAAUAGAAACAGACAAGGGCCCCUUAGAAACAAACUGAUUUCACCUUCUGAUCUGGCUGGCUGUGCUGGGAAAGGCCUGCGAAAGCCAAGUAACAUGGAAUCCAUAAAAUGUGCCAUCUGAUUUUUGGGGGAGUUGGGGGUGUGUCUAUUCCCAGAAACCAUGACUUGGUUGUUGUUACCAACACCAGAGAACACAGCCAUGGGUCUCCCCUCAAGGCAAUCCCUUUCGAACCCUGCACUGUUUCCCGGGUAUUCAUGCCAGAUCAUUUUAAGCAUGGCUGGGCCAGCCUCUAAGAAGAGGAGAGACGUUGGAGUCAGCUCUGGAUCUGAUUGCCCGCCUUGCUACUCUUUUUUUUUCUUUCCCUGUUAGAUGAUGAAUGUGCUAUUUAAACUUCCUACACCUCAACUUCCUAACUGUAAAGGUGAAGUGAAUAACCUACCUUGCAUGGAUUAAAUGUCACCUCCAAUACCUUAGUACAGUGCCCAGCUCAGGAGAGGCACAGACAGUUCUCUGGCCUUCAGAUGACAUUAAGGCGGGGGAAAUGAAGUCAGGGAGAAGGGGUCCCUUUUGAACAUGUUAACCUGUGUGUCACCCACAGAGCUGUGGAGUCUAGGUCCGUGCUGCACGAAGGGCCCAUCCAUAAUGACCUAAGGAGUUGCUCCAGAAAGAAAACAAACACGCGGAUUCUUUUCUUUAAGAACAUCUUGCUAGGAACAAAAUGUAAGACAUUUACAUUCUGAUGCAAGUCCCUGCUCUCACUGCAAAUCUAUAACAAACCAGCCACAGAUUGGCCUCUGGUCCACAGACAGACCUGCACAGCCUAGUCUGGAUGACUGUGUAGGAUGCCUGCAUUCACUCCUAAACAACUCCCCACCCUUCUUUGGGCCAAGUCAGGCCCACAUGCAUGGACCACACUAAUGAAUCCCCCGCCCUCUGACUUUGGCUCCAGCCAACAGGGGGCCUGAAAAUAAAUCAGAGAGAAGGAGGAGAAUGGGGUCAAUAAGACAACUCUUUGCUUCCAGGGUCACUGGCAGGCCAGCUGACUCAGUAGCCUCCACACAGCUCUCUGUUCCGGGGCUCAGGGGUUCCAAUGACUGUGCUCUUCCUCUGCCUCGUAAGGUCCAGUUGUCAUGAACCCCGGUGCACUACCAUCUUCCUUGUGCUUUCUCUAGGCCCUGGUCCACAAUCCAGUCCAAACUGUACUUCCACUGAACCUCUAAAACUAUCCUAACUUGAGGGCAAUUUCUGUGGGGGCCUUUACUAACACAGUGACAUUUUAAUGCACGUUCAAAUUCUAGUUGUCUAUCACUGGCACUGAAUUUUUAAAAAAAUAAUGGCAAUACACUCAGUUCCAGGAGAGUCCAUUUGAUUAAAUUUUCUCUCAUUGCAUCUUAUCAUACCAAGUGAAAUAAGAAGGAGAAAGACAACUACUAUAUGCUAUCACUUAUAUCUGGGAUCUAAAAUAUGGCACAAGUCGACCUAUCCACGAAACAGAAACAGAUUCACAGACAUAGAAAACAGACUUGUGGUCGCCAAGGGGAUGGAGGGUGGGGGAUGGAUGGAUGGGGAGUCUGGGGUUAGCAGAUGCAAACCAGUGUAUAUAGAAUGGAUAAAUGACAAGGUCUUACUGUACAGAACAGAGAACUAUAUUCAAUAUUCUGUGAUAAACCAUAAUGGAAAAGGAUAUUAAAAAUGUGUGUGUGUAUGUAUAUACAUAUAUAACAUAUACAUUAUAAUUAUAUAUACAUAAACUGAAGCACUUAGCUGUAUAGCAGGAAUUAACAUUGCAAAUCAACUAUACUUCAAUAAAAUUAAUAAAUAAAAUAAAAAUAUCAUGGAGAGUCCAUUUCCAUGUGUGACCAAGGUGAACAAUUCUCAGCUUUGAAAUCCUAGGCUAGGACUUGGAUUCUGGCUCCAGCCAUUUCUAGCCAUUGGCUUUGGUAAGUCACUGAAACUCUCCUACCCUGUUUUUUCAUUUAUAAAAUUAUGAUGCUAACAGUAUAGGAACUUUCUUUAUACAUAACUUUUAACGUGGACCAAAUUUUUAAAUGUUCAAAUUUCUUUGAUAUGCAUAUGAAUAGAAACAUGUCACUGAGGUGUCUGAAUUAUGGUUUAUCACAGAGUAUGAAACACCUUUGAUAAACUGUAAUAAUGAUAUUUUUCUUCUGCAUACUUCUUGAUCAUUUGUGUCAAUGUUGGAACUAAAAGUCUUUCAUGGACUCCAGUAAGACCUCUAUGCAUUCCAUGACUCUGAAUCAAACUUUGUCCAGUGGUAUAUGUGUGUGUGUGUGUAGUCAUUUUUCAGGGUUUUUUUCCCCAAUUACAGAAAAUUUCUGAUUUAACUAAAGGUCAGUCUCAAGCUUACCCUCAUCUCUAAUUUGUUUGUGUAAUCUCUUUUACUGUGUUGAAUAUUAAGUUUAUAGAGCAUGGAUCGUCUAUGCAUGAAUUAUCCUAGACUAAUGGGAAAAUAAACUCUAACCUAUUCAUUUCUGAUUUAUUCCAACAAGGACAUUUAUUAUGAAAAGUAAAAGGAUAAUUGAUAAUUUAGAAUGACAAAUUAAUUACUUAC